GGAGAGAUGGCAGAGUGGUCUAAUGCGGCGGUCUCGAAAACCGUUGUUCCUUUUUAAGGAACCGGGGGUUCGAAUCCCCCUUUCUCCG
rnacentral:tRNA from 1 species